rnacentral:rRNA from 1 species
UGGGGAAUAUUGGGCAAUGGGCGCAAGCCUGACCCAGCAACGCCGCGUGAAGGAAGAAGGCCCUCGGGUUGUAAACUUCUUUUAUUCGGGACGAAACAAAUGACGGUACCGAAUGAAUAAGCCACGGCUAACUACGUGCC